AGUGAACGCUGGCGGUUGGCCUAACACAUGCAAGUCGAACGGCAGCACAGUAAGAGCCUGCUCUUACGGGUGGCGAGUGGCGGACGGGUGAGGAAUACAUCGGAAUCUACUUUUUCGUGGGGGAUAACGUAGGGAAACUUACGCUAAUACCGCAUACGACCUACGGGUGAAAGCAGGGGAUCUUCGGACCUUGCGCGAUUGAAUGAGCCGAUGUCGGAUUAGCUAGUUGGCGGGGUAAAGGCCCACCAAGGCGACGAUCCGUAGCUGGUCUGAGAGGAUGAUCAGCCACACUGGAACUGAGACACGGUCCAGACUCCUACGGGAGGCAGCAGUGGGGAAUAUUGGACAAUGGGCGCAAGCCUGAUCCAGCCAUACCGCGUGGGUGAAGAAGGCCUUCGGGUUGUAAAGCCCUUUUGUUGGGAAAGAAAAGCAGCAGGUUAAUACCCCGCUGUUCUGACGGUACCCAAAGAAUAAGCACCGGCUAACUUCGUG
rnacentral:rRNA from 1 species